GGAGGAAGUAGGGGAUCGCAAGACCUUGCGCUUUUGGAGCGGCCGAUGUCUGAUUAGCUUGUUGGUAAGGUAAAAGCUUACCAAGGCUUCGAUCAGUAGCUGGUCUGAGAGGACGACCAGCCACACUGGGACUGAGACACGGCCCAGACUCCUACGGGAGGCAGCAGUGGGGAAUUUUGGACAAUGGGGGCAACCCUGAUCCAGCCAUGCCGCGUGAGUGAAGAAGGCCUUCGGGUUGUAAAGCUCUUUCAGCCGGAACGAAACGGUUACGGUUAAUACCCGUGACUACUGACGGUACCGGAAGAAGAAGCACCGGCUAACUACGUGCCAGCAGCCGCGGUAAUACGUAGGGUGCGAGCGUUAAUCGGAAUUACUGGGCGUAAAGCGUGCGCAGGUGGUUUUGUAAGUCAGAUAUGAAAUCCCCGGGCUCAACCUGGGAACUGCGUUUGAAACUACAAAGCUAG
rnacentral:rRNA from 1 species